rnacentral:ribozyme from 1 species
UCGCGCCGGUCCUUGGUGACUUGGUUUUCCUCGCGGAUUUCUCGAGCCCG